GUGAAUCAUCGAAUCUUUGAACGCACCUUGCGCUCCUUGGUAUUCCGAGGAGCAUGCCUGUUUGAGUGUCAUUAAAUUCUCAACCUCACCUGGUUUCUGACUUGUGUGAUGGCUUGGAUUUGGGAGUUGUGCAGGCUGUAGUUAUCUGCGGCUCUGCUCUCCUUNAAUGUAUUAGCAGGUCUUUUACCUCUAUCCCAACAGUGUGAUAAUCUAUCUACGCUGCUGGUUUGGAGACCCACUUGUGGGGGACUGGCUUCUAAUCGUCUGCAAAGACAACUUGACAUUCUUGACCUCAAAUCA
rnacentral:misc_RNA from 1 species